AAUGAGGCAUAACAUGCAUAAUUAAUUCGAGUAGGAACCGUUAAUGCAGAAUAUUUUAUGGGGCACAUAAUGGUGACGCACACAAUGCCUCGUGCGAUGUGUGAACAGCGCCAUCUUUAGAAGCACAUUUGCUAUUGACGAGGUCGGUUGUGCUUUCUCUCGCUCUUCAAACAAGAGUGCUGCUUUCUCCAUGCUGUAUGGACCACUGAAGGGGAGAGACGUGUAUCCCCCCCCCAAAAAAAACAUUAAUUGUGCUCUGUGUAUUUCUGCAGACCUGCUUCUUCAGAAUAAACCUUCCUGAGACCUGCUCCACCUGUAUUGUCAUCUUUGAGAGCAACAAAACACAACCAGAGUAAAACUGCUACACACUGAAAGG